GAGGGUGAUCGGCCACAUUGGAACUGAGACACGGUCCAAACUCCUACGGGAGGCAGCAGUGGGGAAUAUUGCACAAUGGGCGAAAGCCUGAUGCAGCAACGCCGCGUGAGUGAUGAAGGCCUUCGGGUCGUAAAACUCUGUCCUCAAGGAAGAUAAUGACGGUACUUGAGGAGGAAGCCCCGGCUAACUACGUGCCAGCAGCCGCGGUAAUACGUAGGGGGCUAGCGUUAUCCGGAUUUACUGGGCGUAAAGGGUGCGUAGGCGGUCUUUCAAGUCAGGAGUGAAAGGCUACGGCUCAACCGUAGUAAGCUCUUGAAACUGGGAGACUUGAGUGCAGGAGAGGAGAGUGGAAUUCCUAGUGUAGCGGUGAAAUGCGUAGAUAUUAGGAGGAACACCAGUUGCGAAGGCGGCUCUCUGGACUGUAACUGACGCUGAGGCACGAAAGCGUGGGGAGCAAACAGGAUUAGAUACCCUGGUAGUUCACGCUGUAAACGAUGAGUACGAGGUGUCGGAGGUUACCCCC
rnacentral:rRNA from 1 species